rnacentral:misc_RNA from 1 species
CGUCUCCUGCAGACCCUU